UUUCUUUACCCCAGGAAGAUCGGCCUUGAAGACGUGGGCCUCCGGUGUCUCCUUCCAAUCAAUGCGAGUGUUCGCGAACGACGCCGUUUCUCCGGGAACCGAUAGAGCCCCGCCGAUGAAUGGGAAGUCCUGGAAUGGAUCCCACAGGUCGAACAUGUUGUUCCGUCGACCGCCGAAGAAGCUUGGAAUUAAAGACAUUUUCUGAAAGUUUGUCGCAGGAGAGAGUGACGGAACUGGAAUAUUGGAUUUGCGUUCUGAGAUAUCAACACCUGUUGCUAUGGUACUGGUUGAAGAAAGUUCAGAUUCAGAUAUUUAUAGGUGCAGAUGAGGGUAAUUUCGUCAAAUUGUGUAGUGGAUUCUAGAUGCUUCAAGAAGAUAGAGAAGUAUCUAAAGAGACUGGAUAUAGUGCAAUGUUGUCGCGAGUGCAAAUAUCGGAAUACUCGCGACACGGUGUGCUCGAAAUCUCUGGAAAACGCGGGACAGCUACAAAAUCCAUCCUUUCGGAUGGCAGUACACAUGGGCCUAAAGUGGUUAGCCCAUAUCCAUAUUCCGCAAAUCCAAGCCCAGGUUAUAAAUAUCUUAAAAUGCAUGGUAAAAGGGAAGAGUAUGCUUUGACGACUUUAUGUGAAAAUAAUUAACAAUGCAGGCCCCGCUUUCAUCUUCCACCUUAUUUAAAAAGAUAGCCUUACGUGAUCCAUCAUAGGUCAUGUUUAGUAUGCAUCACAUAUAUUAGGACACUUAGCAUGAGAAAUUUAUCAAGACAAUGACAAAUCAUUUAUCUAAUUAGAAGAUAAUGCACUACAACUUUUAUUGGAUUACUCAAAUUUAUGAACUAAUUGUGAACAAUUUAUUUACUUACAAAGAACCUAUGACUUAUAUCAUUUGUGUAAUUUCAAAUGUAUUUAAGUGAUGUACAAUAUAAGAUAUAUGAGCUGAGUGUUUAAAUCAAUAUCAAUGUAUAAAAAGGAUAACAAAGGAACAGUCAAGUCUAACUUUGUUAUAUCAUGUCUUGCUUUUUUAAUCCCAACAUAGACAAUAAUUACCAAUUUAUCACAUGUCUCAUUGAAUAACUCAAUUAUGAAUUUCCAAUUAAAGAUCUUGUGUCACGCCCCAAAACCCGCUUCAAGGGCAUGAUGAUCAUUUCACACUUCAAGCCUAAAGGCUUAGAGUGGAAACAACACAAACAAUCAUAUUACAACUGGAAAUUUACUAAUCACCAAAUUCCUGUUCAGAGUAGUAGAACAAAAAUUCUAAAAUCUCCAAAUAACAAUUUUUGAAACUAACACAUCAAACCAAGUGUUAUUGUACUAAUAACUUCAAACUCAAAUAAUUCCAAUGUAAAAUAAAUUUUAACAUCUAACAAUGCUCAAAAUAAAGGGAGUUUUGACAAAAGUCCUAACAAGCCAAUUUCCCUUCCUAAUUGUAACUCCUCACCCGAACUAAGGGUACCUGAAAAUUAUCUAUAAAGGGGAAUGAACUCAAAACCCAAUAAAGAAUAUUAAUACAACUUCAUGGAUCAAAUAGUUUCAAUCAUGCUUACAAAUAGGAGAUUUAGUGUAAAAUCAUUUUCAUAAGAACGUUUGAGUACAAAUAUGCUAAUACAUUUUAAGGUGUUUAACCAAACAUUUUCCUAUAUAUCACAGUCAUUUCAUAUCCAUUUCAAAUAAAAUACAUUUCAAUUGUUUUCACUUUGGUUAUCAAAUAACAAAUAGUGCCGAAUUAAGUGGGACUUUACAAAUAGGUGGUUAGCCUCAAAUAUUCAUUUUAAGGUGGACGAAAUCAAACACUACUAAUACUAAUAACCUCUAACCAAACCCCUAGAGGAUAAGGUCCAAAUCAAUUACAUUUCUUACCACAAAAAUGUAAAUGUCAACUAUUAUAUUCCAUUGACAAGGGUUAAAAAGUCAACUAUUAUAUCUUAUUAACAAGGGUCAACAAACCAGAGUCAAAUUCUUUAUUUUACUUAAUCCAAUGUACGAAAGCAGAAAAUCCCCAAGUAUUUCGAUAUAAACAAAAUAAAUGUUAUAAGAUAUUUUUCCAUACAAAAAUAUAUUUGAUCCAUGCUUAAAAGCAAAAUUAACAAUUACACAUUUCAAACCACACACACACACCUCAAAAGAAGUCCUCAAAAACCUACUUUUCACCUAACAAAAUAUAAGAGAAAUAAUCAUUACUAUUUAUAUAAAAUUAUAUGUUUAACAAUUCUAAAAUUUUAGGUAUUCAAAUUAAUGUUUUUAAUUAUGAAAGAUAAUUUAAUCUAUUCCUAUUUUAGAAAAAUUAAUAAAUUUCUAAUUCAUAUAAAACUUAAAUUAUAUUUUCAAUUUAUUUAUUUACUUUUUGGGACACAACAUAAUUUAAUUAAACUACAAUUUUUUUCGCUAAUUAAAUUGUUUGCUACUUAUUAACUUAAUAUUUAUAAUUAAUCUAAUUAUAAUACUAUAAAUUUAACUAAUUAAUUUGUACUUCACCUCGUUAAUUAUACAUAGUUAUUUAUACCACUUUCUUAUUUUUUCAAACACAACUACCAUAACAAUCAUACACUCCAUGUACAAAGCAUGCCUCAUUAUUAUUAUCACUUUCAUCAUUCUUCUAUCUUCCGGUUUCCACAUGCAUGCAACUUUUUUUUUUCCAUCGUUCUUCUAUCUUCCAAUUUUCACACGCAUGCAAUAUAUGUAUAUAUAUAUUUUCCAUUGUGACAUAGUUUCAAAACCUAUUUAUUAUUAUUACACACUAUUAGAAAUCAUCCCAUACAUUGAAAUCUUAUAAUUUUUUUUCCACUCCCACAUAUUAUCAUAUAUUUAUUUACUCAUUUAAUUUUUGAAAUUUCAUUGCUUAGAUAUAUUCAUCUAAAAAAAAUUUGAAUUUCCUUAUUUUCAUCAAUAGAAUAACCUAUAUUUCUAAUUUCAAUAUUUUGACCUAAAAGUUUUAAAAUAAAUCAAUCAUAGCCUAAAUCGAAAUUUUCCAAAGAAUUUUUUUUUUCCAUCUAAAAACUUAAGGUUUUCUAAUUUCAAACAAUAAAUCAAAAUCUUAAAUUUUCAAUAUUUUGAUAUUAAAACGAAUUAAAAAAAAACUAACCUUAAUUUAAAUUAAAUUUUUUUCAAAGAAUAACUAGAGUGUUCAGAACUAACUAACGAAUAUAAUAUAUUAAUUUAGGGUUAGAAUCUUACUUGGAAAAAAAAAUAUGAAUUUCAAACUCUGAACCUUUAACCCUUGAGUCCUGCAAUCUCCAAUUCUCUAAUUCUAGUUGAUAGGGUUUUUUGAAUGAAGAAGGCAACAUGAAAAUCUAAUUUAUACCUAGGAUUUUUAAUUGUAAAAGAACUCUUUCACCUUUAAUGAAUUUAAUUAAUUACUUAAUUACUUUAUAAAUUACUAUUUUGCCCCUAUAUUAAAUUUGGGGUGUUACAUCUUGACCUUUUACAUUAUUUUCUUGGAAUGGAGAUUAAAUAUUUUGAUAAAAGAACAUUUCUUUCUCAACAAAAAAUAUAUGCAUGAUCUACUUUCAAGAACUAAAAUGCUUUACAAUAAUCCCAUUGCUACACCUCCAGUUCUUGCAAACAAGCCUUCUUUUUUAGACAAUGUCUUAACCGAUGCUAUUGCUUUCCAAAGUGUUGUCAGAACCCUUCAACUUUCAUGUGGUUGGAUAUUAUUCAUACAAUUAAUUGGGUAUGUCAAUAUUUUUAUAACUUUGUUAUAACUCACUUGAAGGUUGUAAAGUGCAUCUUAAGAUACCUUAAGGGAACCCAAUACUUUGGCUUACGUUAUCUUUCCAUCAAUCUAAUAUCUCUUUAUAGGUUUAGUGAUGCCGAUUAGGUAGGUCGUCCCAUUAUAAGGAGCACCAUCGGUUAUUGUGUAUUUAUUAGAGUGACUUGCAUCUUUUGGUGUUCAAAGAAACAACCAAUAGUUGCUAGCUUGAGUAUCGAGGCAUAAAAUCGCUCUUUGGUCUUUUUCACUAUGGAGUUAACUUGGAUUACUUAUUUGCUAUGAGAUAUUAUCAUAUCCAUCUCUAAACUACUACAAUUAUUUUGCACCAAUGUUAGUCUCUUUACUGGUACAUUAACUUUAUGUUUCAUGUUUGUUCUAAAUAUAUUAAGCUUAAUAAUCAUUUUGUGUGAGAUAAAGUUGUUAUGAACAUUUUUAUGUUUCCACACAUUCUUAACUUGCGGAUAUUAUUACCAAAUCUUUAUCACAUGAUGUCUUUAUUAUGUUUUGUGACAAGCUAAACAUCCAUAUUCAUUCAUACUCUAAUUUGAGGGGCAUGCUAAACGAUUUAGGAUAAGAACACACACAAAAAUGUAAGAGCACUCUCAUUAAUAUUUUCAUAAAUAUAAAAAAAUCAAAUAUUGAUAAUAUUUGAUUUUUACAAUACUUGAUUCUCCUAAUUUUAGGAUAUUUUCCUAUAUGUAUUUUUGUUAGGAAUAUGUUUUAUUUCUUUCAUCGUAUACUCAUCUAUAUUUUUGGACGGAAGAAAUAGAAAUUAUAACUUCCAUUAUCAAAAUACACCAAGCUUUACAUUCUAAUGAUUGGAAGUAUUUUUAAUUUAAUUUAACUUUUUUAUUUUUUAAAUAGGUAUUUGUCAGUUUUUUAAAAAUCAAUAUAAAAUUUUUCAUAAAAUACACCAAGCUUUACAAUCUAAUGACUGGAAGUGUUUUUAAUUAUUUAUUUAAUUUAAUUUAACUUUUUUAUUUUUUAAAUAGGUAUUUGUCAGUUUUUUAAAAAUCAAUAUAAAAAAUUUGAAAAUUUACUUGAAAUGAUUUUGACAAUUACUUGAUAAGUGAUUAUUGAUAUAUCAAUAAAAAAUAAUAUCAAAAUAUUUUUUAUUUUAUAUUAAAUAAUAAGGAUUCAUUUGAAUACAUUUCUUUAUUGAUUUAAAUUUUAUUUUCUAUUUUUUCUUUCUUUAUCUAUAUAACAUUUAUAAUUAUUUAUUUUUUAUUAUUAAGGAAUAGUUGACUGGUACAUAGUUUGACACUGACAUAGCCCAAAAUUCAAAAGAAAAAUCAUACAGUAGGGCAAAACCCUCAACACCCUCGGCCGCUUACAUCAUUCAUUUAUAAGUUUAUGUGAAUGUAAUUCUCAACCAGAAAUAUCGAUGGCCUUGACAUCAGGUUUCUGGACCUCAGCCUUGGGAACAGUAACUGUAAGAACACCAUUCUCCAUGGCAGCCUUCACCUCAUCCACCUUCACAUUCUCCGGCAAUCUGAACCGCCGCAUGAACUUGCCGCUGCUGCGCUCCACUCGGUGCCACUUGUCAUUCUUCUCCUCCUUCUCAACACUCCUAUCUCCACUGAUCUGCAGAAUCCUCCCUUCCUCAACCUCCACCUUCACUUCCUCUUUCUUUACCCCUGGAAGAUCGGCCUUGAAGACGUGGGCUUCCGGGGUCUCCUUCCAAUCAAUGCGAGUGCUCGCAAACGACGCCGUUUCUCCGGGAACCGAUAGAGCACCGCUGGUGAAUGGGAAGUCUUGGAAUGGAUCCCACAGGUCGAACGUGUUGUUCCGUCGACCGCCGAAGAAGCUUGGAAUUAGAGACAUUUUCUGAAAGUUUGUCGCAAGAGAGAGUGACGGAAUUGGAAUAUUGAAUUGCGUAAUAAGAAAUCAACACCUGUUGCUAUGGUACUGGUUGAAGAAAGUUCAGACUAAGUAAGAUAUUUAUAGUGGCAGACGAGGGUAGUUUCGUCAAAUUGUGUAGUGCAUUCCGGAUGCUUCAAGAAGAUAGAGAAGUAUCUAGAGAGACCGGAUAUAACGCAAUGAUGUCGCGAGUACAAAUAUCGGAAUACUCUGGUGUUGCUCGAAAUCUCUGGAAAACGCGGGACAGCUGCAACAAUCAUCUUUCGGUGAUCGUACACAUGGGCCUAAACUAGUCAGCCCAGGUCCAAAUUCCAUAAAUCCAAGCCCAAAUUGUAAAUAUUUUUAAAUAGCCCUUCUAAAAGGAAAAAGUAUGCAUUCAGGUCUUUUUGUGAAAAUAAUUAAUAAUGCUG
rnacentral:lncRNA from 1 species